AGGAAGCGGGGUGGGGGGGAUGCCUGCCUUACACGUUAGGCACUCAGCUUCAUAUGCAUCACGACCCUGGCAAAAGCAGGCAAUUUUUUUUUAAUUCCUCUGUAAAGAUGCAUUUUCGUUUCGGAAUUGUCUCCACUCGCUGGCAAGCAGUCGCCUACUUCCUCCUCAUGCACACACACGCACACAAUCAGCAAGGUGGCUAGAUUUGAGGAGAAGGGCGUGACUUAUUUGCAAACGAUUACAAAGAAACCUGGAAUGGAGUGAAAUGGAACAAAGUCAAUGGGAAUUCUAUUGACAAUGUACUGUACAUGAGAGGCAGUCGAACAAAAUCCCGGACAGUUUUUGAAAUUCCCUCCGGACAGACUUUUGGGGCUGAAAAGUAGGACAUGUCCGGGGAAAAGAGGACGUCUGGUCACCGUAGUUUAUUAAAAGAUGUCAACGGCAGAAGACUUGUCCCUACAAACAUAACACGUAACAAAAUAAAUCCCCUCACAAUAUUUAUGAACACAGCAUGUAAACAAGCACUGCAAGUCAAGUUAACCAGUAAGCUAAAGUUAGCGUUAGCGAGACGCUACGAAUGCAUUCACACAUUACUGUGUUCCCCAAGAAUAAUACAGCACCUUCGAAACUUUUUGAUUGAUUAAAAGAUAUCACCGGCAGAGACUUGUCCUUACAUAACACGUAUUAAAAUAAAUCCCCUCACAAUAUUUAUGAACGUCUCGUAAACAAGCACUGCGGUCAAGCCACGAAGUAAGCUAAUGCUAGCGCUAGCGUUACCGAGAAGCUAAAGAAUGCAUUUAACACAUUAUUGUGUUCCCCAAGAAUAAUACAGCACCUUUGAUGCAAUUCAUCUGAUACAACUACUCAAAAUACACCCAUAAGAAG